ACAGACUUGUGUCUGUGAAGAGUUUGUGCACCAAACCUUCUUCUCUUCUUCUUUCAGAUGUUCUCUCUCUCUCUGUUAUGUGGCUCAUGUGGAAACAGCAACACACUGACAAGCAUCUCCUUUUCUCCCUGUUUCCCCCCCCCCCCCCCUUUUUUUUUUUUUUUACCUCUCUCUAUCCCUCCCUUUUCUCUGCAGUGCAGUCCCACCCCCACUCCCAGACGCUUGCUGGAGAAAACCCGGAUCCAGGAUCCGAUGUGGCCUGGAUCAGGAUUCCCCGAUCCCAGAUCCAACUCGUGGCUUUUUGGUAAUGACGUCAUUCUUUCGAGACGUAUGGAGACGUACACACAAAACAGCCGUCUGAGCACAAAGGACAGAUUGAUGUUACAGAGGUAAUCAAGCUGCCAAUCGGAGACAGAAAAGGAAGGGAAAUUUGUGAUAUCAGCUUGAUCCAACACCAGGGUUUUAUCAGAGCUUUGACUGGAGUCAGGAUGUUGUGUGGCUGUCAAUGCAAAGGUCAACACAAAACAGAGAUGGUCAAAGGCUACUCUGGAGGAAGGAAAUUGAUUGGACUUAAUCGUGACAUGCUAUUCCAAAGAAAAGGAAACGCAGUCGAUUUGAGUCUAAACACCGAGGGAGUGAAUCGCUGCUCUAAGGCACACACGGACAGACCUGAACGAAGUCAUAUAAUAGUCCUGCUCCAUACUGUUGAAAAGAGCAACAUUUCUAUAAAUACGUAUUAUGAACAGGUUAAUGCCAAGGCUUCAGCUGUUCAGGAAAUUGAGUACUUUUCAAACAGCUGCUGGCUAAGAGGUUUGAUUCCUGCACUUCAGCAGUCCAAGAAGUACUUGACCAAAACAUCUUAGGAUUAUUUAGACGACUGGCUAAAAGCCUCCAACACCGUUUUUUUAUUUAUUUAUUUUUUUUAUCAUUUUGUGACAAAAAAACAACGUUUAAAUCCUGUUAUUGACUGACUGUGAGGCUGCAGCAGAUCCCCGUCAGUGUCAGACAUGUUACACUAUAUAAAAUUCUGAUAGUUAUUUUACAUUUCAUUUUUUAUAUCUCCUGUUUUAGAAUAGGAGACAUAUGUUUCCUAUUGUUUAGAAUAUUUAUCUGCCGUCAUCGGCGGCGUUGCUAGCCAGCCUGCACAUUCAAGGCAGGCUCUGCUGUGGGUGGAGGAGCUGAAGUACAGCGGAGAGCAGAGGGAAGGUGGGUGCAGAGAUCUGCGUUGGACCAACACCAAUCCACAGACUGACAUCUAUCACAUAUAGGUCUCAUGAAAUUACUCAUACCGCUUAAGCUUUUUCCACAUAUUUCCCGUUACAGCCACAAUAUCCAGUGCAUUUUAGUGAUCAGUCAAUAACUGUAAAGCAGAAAGUCAAAAAAAUUCUUCUUUUUUUUUUUUACUUACAAUAAAAUCUGAAAACCUGGUCAUUUUCAGCGUAAAAACAACUGUUUUGUGAAGGUUUUAGAGCAUCAUGCAGACAAAGGAACAGCAGGAAUAAAGUUACAGAGGUUACAGUUGGGUUGGGUCAUAAAACACUUUUCUAUUGGGUAGUUUAUCUUCCAUUAGGAGAAUUAUCCUAAUCAUAUAACUAACGAUAAAAUGGGAUAGCUUAGAUCUGAAAAGCUAUCCCAACAUCAGCUCUCAAAAGCAGCUGUUCUGCAAGAUUUAAAUGUUCUCCUGGUUCAAGGAAUCGUAAUCAAGUGGAUAAUUUGCUGCCAAUCCUCUGCAGAAGUUGACGACAUGUUGAAGAGGUAAUUUAGAUUUGGAAAAAAUUUAUAACAUGUAGGACACUGGCGUUUGUAGACUGGAGAUAGCGGCACCUGGUUUGAAUUCAGGUAGCAGAAUGAACCAACUAAACUGGGAAUCGGUGGAAAGACUUAAAAAUGACAAUAAUGUUCACAGACACUCUCCAUCCAAUCUGCUUGAGCUUAAGGAAUUUUGCAAAAAAAAAAAAAAAAGAAUUGGCAAACUUUCAGUCAACUUUUGCAUUGAUGAUACAUAAAUACCACAAAAAGCUAAAGAUGGAUGAAUACACCUUCAGUACUCUACCUCCAGUCAGGCACCCUGAUCCUAACAUGGCCCUUUAAGCAAGGCUUCAAAACAAAAACCACCAUGUUUCAUGUUGCAUGGACCUGCCUUUGGCUCCAGUCAUAAAGGUUAGUUGAAUGACCUGAUUUAUGCAAUAACUGUGCAAAAACAGACCAAGACAGAGGAGAGACGGGGCAUAUGGGCUUUCUCCCUGACACCAAGGUUAAACAUCAAACAGGGAGGGAAGGAUGAAAUUACCCUCAUGUGCACAUGAACACUAGCAGUUUACUGUUACAGGAUAUUCAUUAUAAUAAAGUUACAAAAGCAAACCAUUCAUGGAAUAAUGAUCACCACAACUUUGGCAAAUUAUCAUUAGAAAACAAUUCUCAGAUUCUUACUCUUACUUUCCCCAAAGGUCUUCUGCAAAAGUAAAGUGGGCUUGAUUUCUGAAAGUAAAUGGGUAAAAUAAGUAUUUCUCUUUUUCCAACAAAAAUGGUUCUUCUGUUUUGACCUAAAAUUAUAUUAGCAAUUUCCCCUUGGGAGUCAAUACAUUCUAUUCUAUUCUAUUCUAUUCUGGCGUAAAAUUUCAAAAGUAGUUCAAUUCACUCUGGAAACAAGCACCACUCUUGUGUGACUAUUGAACUUUGCCUGGGUUCAAAGCUGUAAACAUAAAAUCACUUUUCUGCCACUGCUCAGCUGCUUCUUGCUUGUUCUUUUCUUUUCAGCUUCUUUUGCAUAUUUCUUGACCUUAGACAUGGAAACAGAUACAACACUUCAGUUAAGGGCUCAAAUUGAAAAGGACAUGGUAAGGAAGAAAAAAAAAGAAGAAAAAAAAAAGUGAAUACAUUAAAGUGCCUGUGUGUAGAAUGCUGAAGUGGAACAGUUACAGAAGCACACACAUAGUAAAGAGAUUAUGAAUAGAAAUCUGAACAGGUAGUAGAAUGGAAGCCAUAAAUCUUUUUACACUUUGGGUUUACAAAGAUGAAAAGGAUUGAUGUAAAUUGUGCUAAAAGUCUUAUACAUCAUUAUGUGAGCUUUCAGUUGAUCACAUCCAAGAAUGACUCAGAAGAGAAUAAAUGCGCCUCGAAAGAAGGAAAAUCCAACACUUGAUCAACAGGAAUGUUAGCAAUGCUCUUAUUACAUCAGUUUAACAAUGAAUAAAUAAGCAGUUCUUCAGGAGGGGUUUAUGUAUAAUUACUAUUGGAUGGAAAAUCGCUUUGCAGAACAGUUGAUGACCUGAGAAUGGUUUAUUGCUCGUUAAUGAUAAUGAACACUCUGGGUACUGGUGCACACACCUCUGACUCUCAGUCAUCUUAUGUGAAAUGCUCCAUUGUUAUUGAAGCCAGCUUAUCCCAUCCUGCAAUCAGACUGCAAAAAAGGGAAGGCAGAGAUGUCACAGUGAUCAAAGUGUGUGUUUAGCGUACCAAGCACGGGGCCUCUCUCUCGCUCUGAAACAGAGAACCUGAUAGCUGAACUGUCUGACAGCCUCUCUUGUCUUUGUGGUUCAGACACAGAAAUGGAACAGAUCCGAUGAGACGCAGAAAUACAAGCUUUUGUCCUUGCAGCUCUCCUCUUCUGUCUUUCUCAUGACAGCAUUCCCCCCGUCUUAUCCUUAAUAUUAUCCUUCUGGUUUUCUUUCUAUGUUAACGGUUACUUUUCAGUAUGUGGACUAUAUUGAUAUUUAGAGUUAUAUCUUACAAAUAAGACGAAUAUCUUCAUGCUGCUUUGAGAUGAAGGGUGACCUUGGUUUUGUUUUCCCCCAUAGCACAGAUGUUGUGUUGAUAGUGCGUAAUGGGAGUAUGAUGGAGGGAUUAUGGGAGAUACCUCGCUAAAUAGCUAGCUAGCUCUACUCAUCCCUGUAGGGAAAGUGAUUUGCUGCAUUAUCAGGAGGAAUUAACAUGGAAAGACAGCAAUAUACAUACACAAACAUUAACAGCAAAGAGGUUUGAAUUACCCAUUAAUUUAUGGUACCUUUUUACUUUUAACUAUUUAAUUGCUUGAGAAAGGUGGUUUCUUGGCCCUCAAAGAACAUUGCAAGACAUCUGGGGAUUUCUCAUAGUUUGUUUUUGCUGUUGUUUUGAU